CGCCCGGGAACUACGAGCAAAGCUUAAAACCCAAAGGACUUGACGGUACCCCAUUCCCCCUAGAGGAGCCUGUCCUAUAAUCGAUAACCCCCGUUUAACCUCACCAUUUUUAGUCUAUCAGCCUGUAUACCUCCGUCGUCAGCUUACCUCGUGAGCGAAUCUUAGUGAGCUUAAUGCCCUUACGCCAACACGUCAGGUCAAGGUGCAGCAAAUGAAAUGGGAAGAGAUGGGCUACACUUUCUAAUAUAGAAAACACGAAAGACUAUUUAUGAAACCUAGUCAGAAGGCGGAUUUAGCAGUAAAAAGAAACU
rnacentral:rRNA from 1 species